rnacentral:rRNA from 1 species
GACGAACGCUGGCGGCGUGCUUAACACAUGCAAGUCGAGCGGUAAGGCCCUUUCGGGGGUACACGAGCGGCGAACGGGUGAGUAACACGUGGGUGACCUGCCCUCAGCUCUGGGAUAAGCCUGGGAAACUGGGUCUAAUACUGGAUAUGACUCCACGGUGCAUGUCGUGGGGUGGAAAGCCUUGUGCGGCUGAGGAUGGGCCCGCGGCCUAUCAGCUUGUUGGUGGGGUGANGGCCUACCAAGGCGACGACGGGUAGCCGGCCUGAGAGGGCGACCGGCCACACUGGGACUGAGACACGGCCCAGACUCCUACGGGAGGCAGCAGUGGGGAAUCUUGCGCAAUGGGCGAAAGCCUGACGCAGCGACGCCGCGUG